AAGCGGACCAGUUCAGACCCUUUCUUCAGUCACAGUUACCGAACGUGACAGAUUACAUCAAUGCUGUAAUGAUACAGUCACACACUUCGAUGUCGGGGUAUUUGAUGACACAGUUUCCUCUUGUGGACACCAUCGAUGACUUCUGGACAAUGGUGUUUGACUACAGCUGUGAAAACAUCGUCGUUCUCGGAAAACCAACACAAAAAGAGGAUUGGCUCCUAGGAGAGGUCGGAGAC